GAUGAACGCUGGCGGCGUGCCUAAUACAUGCAAGUCGAGCGAACAGACGAGGAGCUUGCUCGUCUGACGUUAGCGGCGGACGGGUGAGUAACACGUGGAUAACCUACCUAUAAGACUGGGAUAACUUCGGGAAACCGGAUCUAAUACCGGAUAAUAUAUUGAACCGCAUGGUUCAAUAGAGAAAGACGGAUUUGCUGUCACUUAUAGAUGGUUCCGAGCCGCAUUAGCUAGUUGGUAAGGUAACGGCUUACCAAGGCAACGAUGCGUAGCCGACCUGAGAGGGUGAUCGGCCACACUGGAACUGAGACACGGUCCAGACUCCUACGGGAGGCAGCAGUAGGGAAUCUUCCGCAAUGGGCGAAAGCCUGACGGAGCAACGCCGCGUGAGUGAUGAAGGUCUUCGGAUCGUAAAGCUCUGUUAUUUGGGAAGAACGAAAGUGUAAUUAACUAUGCACGUCUUGACGGUACCUAAAGAGAAAGCCACGGCUAACUACGUG
rnacentral:rRNA from 1 species